ACUCCAGUCCUCUCCACCCCAAGCAUUAUUCUCUUGGAUUCACCUUUGCAAAGAAUUGAACAAAAUAGAAGCCAAAGAAGUAGACAGAAAAUAAAUCAAUCCACUCUGCUCAAAGAGCACACAGUCUAAUGAAGAUGAUGAACAUGAAGUCAACUUCGUAGUGUUGAGAGCACUGUUUCUCCAGAGCAGCACUUCUCAUCAGGGGCUGCACGUUAGACUUACCUGGGGAGUAUACAUAAGUUCAGAUGCCCAGGCUGUACUUCAGAAUCUCUGGAGCUCUAUGCAACUCAUUUUCAUCUAGCAUUACCUCUCCAAAACCUGAAUCUCCACAAGAAAGCCACACAGCAAUUAACCAGUGUUGCAAGAACUGCUUCUGUAAUAAAGGUGGGAAGACAAAUUGAUGCAACCCUCUUGAAAAGCAAUCUGGCAAUAUGAACCAAGAGCCAUGAAAAGGCUUAUGCUAUUAUAAUUAAAUGGCUGUAAUGUUGGCUGUAAAUAUGAAAUUUUCUUUCACACACCAAUGUUUUCAAGAAUGGCAUAUUCACAUGCAGUAUGUGUUUCCCCUUGGAAAUAAAAUGUAAAGGAAAACUAUGGAAAAAUAUACUUACUCUAGACAUUCUCUGCAUUGAUUUAUGACAGAUGAAAGAAGCAGUAAAGGAUGCUAACAAAGCUAUUUCUUUGGACAAUCUGAACCUGACGGAGUCUUACUCUGUCGCCCAGGCAGGAGUGCAAUGGCACAAUCUUGGCUCACCACAACCUCCGCCUCCUGGGUUCAAGUGACUCUCCUGCCUGGCCAUAGAAGCAAACACAAACAUAGAGGAAUUGGCUUUGGGCAGAUGGAAGGACCUCAGAGAAAAGAAACAAAGGAAAGAAAACUGGAUGGAUAAAGUAAAGAUCUUGCCAGCUGGUGCCUGGGUGCAUAGACUGCCUAUGGCUCUUGAAUUGCAUGCUGAAAACUUCAUAAUGAAACCAGAAAAUCACAGAAGCAUAAACACAGCUGCUUAUGCCUAUAAAAUGAGAAAAUUGAAGCCAACAGAAGUUAACUAACUUGCCUAAAAUAACACAGCUGUGGCAAAUUAGGACCAGAACCAAGGUCUCCUGACCUAAGUGCUACUCCCACCAUACUACAUGAUCUGCUGUUUAAAAUUUUGGUGAGCUUUAUAACAUAAAUAAAACUACAGAUGUGAA
rnacentral:lncRNA from 1 species